GUGGGUCCGGACCUGCUUGCUCUGAUCCCCGACAUGGACUGCGGCGUCAUCACCUCCAAGACCGUGCUGCUGCUGCUCAGCCUCGCCUUCUGGGCAGCAGCAGCUGGUCUUGGCUAUGUGGGGGGAUAUGUCAUCAACACCUACAAGAGCUAUGACAACUUUCUGCAGGACAAGUAUGCUCUGUUGCCAGCUGUGAUCAUUCUUUGUGUGGCUGUGGUGAUGUUCAUCAUUGGGUUCAUUGGCUGCUGUGCCACCUUCCGGGAGUCUCGAGUUGGCCUAGGUCUGUUCUUGGCCAUUAUCCUGGUUAUUUUUGUUGCUGAAGUAUCUGCUUUUGUCCUGGGAUUUGUUUACAGGGAAAAGGUAAAAACUGAUGUACAAGGCACAAUGCGCUCAGUCUUUGAGAGAUACGAUGGGAAAAAUCCUGAGUCUACCAUUGUGGAUUACUUGCAAGAACAGCUUCGUUGUUGUGGGGUGAAGAACUACAGCGACUGGACAACCACACAGUGGUUCAAUUCCACUGGUAACAACAGCGUCCCUCUGAGCUGCUGCAGGCAGGAGCUGAAGAACUGCACAGGGCGUCUGGACCAGCCUCAGGAGCUCAAUACUCGGGGCUGUGCAGAGGAGCUGGAGAAUGGCCUGCAGAAUGUUUUCAGCUAUGCUAUGCUUGUAAUCCUGGGGUUUGCCAUUGUGAAGUUCUUUGGCAUGCUGAGUGUCUGUGUGCUUACUUGCAAGAGAGAAGACACUGGAUAUCAGCCUCUUUACUCAGGGAUGUUUACUUAAUCAAGAAAAGUUACCUUUGCAUUUUUGCUUCCCUGAUGACGAGAUUGACUUGCAAAGAUGAACGCUAAAUGGACAAUAUGUUUAAUGUGGAAGUUGAGAAGCUACUGAGGCAAAUGCCAGCUAAAAGGUGGGAGUCAUGAGACGCAUUGGCUGAAGAUGGUUGUGUAGACAGGACUGCUGGAAGGAUUGGUGCAGCCACUUCUGUAUCAUUCAUGCCCUGACUGCUUUUCACCACGAAAAAUAUGGCAAUUGCUCCAGUAAUGAGGAGUUUCAAUGACCUAUAUUGUCCAGCAGCAUCAUGUGACUCCUGGUUUGAUUUAAAUUUUUUUUUCUCUCUUAAAGUUCUGCUGGCCAGAGUCAGGCCUUGGGUUGCAUUACUGCUUUAAAAAUGCUCUUUUAGCCCAUGUGUAUUGGUUUAGUUCUCAGUUAUUUAGGGGCUUGGGGAUUUGUUUUAGAGUUGAGGAAGGGAGGAAACUGCAACUUUUCUUCACUAGGAAAUUGCGGAACAGCAACAGCUCUUUGCUCAAAGUCAAAAAAAAAAAACCCAACUUUUUUUUUUCAGGAAAUCAGAAAAGCAAUUUAUUUUUUCCCCCUACAGACAAAAACAAAAAGGCAAUGUAUGAUGUUGAUGUUCUGUAUUGGACAUACCAAGUACCUGUAUGUCUUAAAAAGUGACUUAAGUUUUAUUGAGAGCUUUUGUCUUCUGUUA